GUUUUACUUUAAAGCGCUAAUUUAACUAACAUUGAGAUUAUUAGUCAAGGCACCGCUUAAAACAUUAACUUUAGGCCCCUAACUUUUUCAAGACCACUUCCUUUGAAUUUUUAAACUAUCUAUACUUAAGUACCGUAAGGGAUUGUUUAUUUAUAAAAAUAUUCCUACCUUUAGUAUCAGGGGGGCUUAAACUAAUCUCAAGGAGAUAUCCCGAACAGUUUAGAGCUGCUCGAAGUAACUUAUCUAAGUGUCAAAUUAGUUUUUAAACUCGAAGCAGAUGUGAUAUGUAAAACAAUAAACCUAUAUCUGGUUGGGGUUAUAUUUAUUCAAUAAAGCCUUUUUCUUAUUCUAGAAAAAGAUAUAAAUCCUCAAGGAUAACCUUGAAGUAUCAUGUAAUUAAUAAUAUGCACUUUUGUAGGGAUAAAACCCGAACUAAUUAUAUAUAAAUAGCUCACUUUUAAAACCCUUACCUUAAAUAUAUCCAACAAGUUAAUAAUAAGCCUAUUAGUAACUUAAAUAAAUAAGAUAAAUUGUAAACACUUAAAAAACAAUUUUAUAAAUUACCAAGGAACUCGGCAAACUACGUCUCCGCCCGUUUAUCAAAAACACCGCCGAUAAAUAAAUUAUCGGUAUAUCUGCCCAGUGAAUCUUCAACGGCCGCAGUAUUCCUAACUGUGCUAAGGUAGCAUAAUAAUUAGUUUUUUAAUUGAAAACUCGAAUGAAAGAAUCGACGAGAGACUUUCUGUCUCGGUAAUUCUAAUAACUUACUACAAGGGUAAAAAAGCCUUUAUAUUUUAAUGGGACGACAAGACCCUAUAAAACUUUACUCUUCCUCUUGCGCACCUUAAUCCAUCCCAAGAUACGAGUUAUGCUGGGGCGGCAUUUUUUAAUCUAAACAAUUAUUCACUACAACAUAAUCUAUGAUAUUAAUAAACCCCCGUAAGUAAUAAAGAACAAGUUACUUUAGGGAUAACAGCGUAAUAUUUCUUUAGAGCCCUUAUCGACAGAAAUGAUUUCGACCUCGAUGUUGAAUUGAAGCCUCUCUGCGGAGCAGCCUCUGCAACGGAAAGUCUGUUCGACUUUUAAACCUUCACAUGAUUUGAGUUCAGACCGGCGUAAGCCAGGUUAGUUUCUAUCUAUUAUAAUGUAUUAAGUAUAGAUUGUACGAAAGGACCUCUAUUAUUAAGAUAAUACUUAAAGUUAGAAUAAAAUUAAUCAAAAAUUAAG
rnacentral:rRNA from 1 species